rnacentral:pre_miRNA from 7 species
GACUGCCCUCAAGGAGCUUACAAUCUAGCUGGGGGUAGAUGACUUGCACUUGAACACAACUAGACUGUGAGCUUCUAGAGGGCAGGGG